GCUGCUACUUCAGGCGUUGAUAAGCCUGGUGCCCCUAUGCAACAAGCAUUUCAUGGGACCGGGUUGGUGACAAGUGGCGUACAUGCUGGUGCAGGCGUAGAUAAGCCUGUUUUCCCUAGGCAACGAGCAGCUCAAGGGAAAGAAAGAACAGAUUUGGGUGAUGUGAAGGGGUUAGGGUGUAAAGCGGUAGGUAAUAUGAGAGCUGUGGCAGGUGUAGAUAAGCCUGUUUCCACUAGAUAAAAAACAGUGAAAGGACCAGUAGGGAAUUUUGUAACGCCUAGGAGAAGUUUGGCAAGUAUGAGAGUGGGGCACAUGGAUUUAAUGUCUAGCCUUCAAAAAAGGCUGCUAGCCAAGAAUAGGGUUAGGAGAUGUAAUGUGGGGACUGGUUUUCUGAGGAGGUGGCUGGGGGGUCCGCUGGGCUGUCUGCUUCUGCCUGUGGUGCUCCCUCUGUUUCUUCUGUUUCGCAGGUGGGAAACAAUAGCAAGCCCAUGGAGGAUGUGAAUAGUGGCGUGCAGGAGAGGGCUAUGUCAGCGCACGGUGAGGCAGCUUCUGGAAGCAGGGCGCCAGUGACAACAGAAGGAGCGACAGCUGCAGCAGCGGUGUCAGGAACUGGUUGAAAAUAAUAGGAGUGCAAUGGGGGCGUCGGAAGGCAGUCCAGCAGCCGGUGAGCUGGUUAUGGUGGGUGCAUUUGAAUCCUCGCAGACCGGGAUGGCGGCAGCCGGAGUGGUAUCGGGAGCUGGAAACGGGACACUUUUUAGGAUACCAUAGGAGCAGCUGACAGGUGCUAGGAUCCAAUCAGCUAUUUCAGCUACCACACUCAGGAAUUUGGAUCUGUUAAAGUAACUAACAUUGGAAGGAAUCAAUUUCCUCACUUUCACCUUGCUUUUCAUCACCCAUUUUUUCCAUUUUUUAGUUUUGAUUGACUUAUUUUUGUUCUUCACUAACAUUUGUUGAUCAACUUUUUGACCACUUUUUUGGAUUACAUUUUAUUUUUUAUGUUAUUGCAUAUUGUGUAUUUUAUUUUUUAUGUUAUUGCAUAUUGUGUAUUUUAUUUAAUUAUAUCUUAACCUCACUGGAUUAAGUAGCUAGUAUUUUUAUAUACAUUUGCACUCACUCACUAAUUGAUCGAAUCUAUACAAUUAUUUUGCUACCCCCCCCCCCCCUUUUUUUGCACUGCAGUGCAUUUUUCUAUUUUUUGGAACACUAUUUUUGAAACACUAUUGUUUGUACUAUUGUUUAUUAGUUUUUUGCUUUAUGCACUUGUUAUAGUUGUACUUAGGCUAAUUCUGUUUUAUUAGUAUUCACUCUUAUUCUGGUGUACCACUCACACUGAUCACCUGUUAUUACCUCUGUUUUUAUUGUAAUUAUCAGCUUUGGCCCUUUGAGCCGCUUCUGUAAGAUAUUCCUGUAUUUGUAAUUUUAUUUAUAUGUGCUUUUUACAUUUUUUAUAUAUAGUCUUUUAUUACUGAUGCUUUUUAACAUGGUUCAUUAAAUAAUCUUCUUUUA